rnacentral:misc_RNA from 1 species
AACGGUCUAUACCUGCGGUACCUGCGGAGGGAUCAUUACCGAGUUUACAACUCCCAAACCCAAUGUGAACCAUACCAAACUGUUGCCUCGGCGGGGUCACGCCCCGGGUGCGUCGCAGCCCCGGAACCAGGCGCCCGCCGGAGGGACCAACCAAACUCUUUCUGUAGUCCCCUCGCGGACGUUAUUUCUUACAGCUCUGAGCAAAAAUUCAAAAUGAAUCAAAACUUUCAGCAACGGAUC